rnacentral:tRNA from 12 species
GGCGCCAUAGCCAAGUGGUAAGGCACAGCUCUGCAAAAGCUCUACCCCCAGUUCGAAUCUGGGUGGCGCCUCCA